AUCGCUUCUCGGCCUUUUGGCUAAGAUCAAGUGUAGUAAAUGCUGAAAGCUCAUUACACUUUCUCAGAAUCCAAACCUUU
ensembl:snRNA LOC120099535 U2 spliceosomal RNA